rnacentral:rRNA from 1 species
AUUGAACGCUGGCGGCAGGCCUAACACAUGCAAGUCGAGCGGAUGAAGGGAGCUUGCUCCUGGAUUCAGCGGCGGACGGGUGAGUAAUGCCUAGGAAUCUGCCUGGUAGUGGGGGAUAACGUCCGGAAACGGGCGCUAAUACCGCAUACGUCCUGAGGGAGAAAGUGGGGGAUCUUCGGACCUCACGCUAUCAGAUGAUCCUAGGUCGGAUUAGCUAGUUGGUGGGGUAAAGGCCUACCAAGGCGACGAUCCGUAACUGGUCUGAGAGGAUGAUCAGUCACACUGGAACUGAGACACGGUCCAGACUCCUACGGGAGGCAGCAGUGGGGAAUAUUGGACAAUGGGCGAAAGCCUGAUCCAGCCAUGCCGCGUGUGUGAAGAAGGUCUUCGGAUUGUAAAGCACUUUAAGUUGGGAGGAAGGGCAGUAAGUUAAUACCUUGCUGUUUUGACGUUACCAACAGAAUAAGCACCGGCUAACUUCGUG